CAUGUUGAAUAUUAAUAAAAUUACCUAGUUGUCUGUUCUCAUGACAAGAAACAAUGACCUGUCAGCACUUCUCUUUGAUUUUAAAGUGUGAAAUGAUUUAUUUUAGAGUUUGAAACACUUGAUUAGUUAGUUCUUUUGUUUGAGUGCUUCAAUCGCUAUCUCUACCUUUACUAUCUUACAAGAGAUUAUUUGCUUUUUCGGCGGGGGGCUGGAACAUAUAUGCUAUUAUGAAUCUACUGAUACUAAAUUACUAAUUGCCAAGUGCAGUAAAUUCUAACAAGGAUUAUGUUUUUGUUCUGAUUCGUCCAAGUACAUGGACUUAUAUUUAUCAUAUUUUCAUCGGCUUUUCUAUCCUUUUUCAUCUAGCACUGGUGGUCCUUGUGGUACCUUUCUUCAUUUAACACUUUACUUUUGCGUUAAGCACUAGCAUACUACCAUGACAAGAUGUUCUUUCUUAUAGGGAAUCAUUUGCUAGAGGUAUGUGAUGAACAUGUCAGUUCCUCCAUGUGCUUGUGUAUAGACUGGAACCCAUCAGCUACAUCCCUCGCUGUGGGGCUUUCGGAUGGGUCAGUCUCAAUAAUUUCACUCCUUGAGUCUCAACUAAGCAUUUCCAGNGAGACUGGAAAGCACAUGACUUUGAACUUUGGGCUGCCUCUUUUGAUAUCCACCAACCACAGCUGGUGUACACAGGGUCAGAUGACUGCAAAUUUAAUUGCUGGGAUUUGCGAGAUGAUCCAUCUAACUUGGCAUUCCAAAAUAGAAAGGUUCACACAAUGGGGAUUUGCUGCAUUACUAAGAGUCCAAGUGAUCCUUACACGUUACUCACUGGUUGCUAUGAUGAACACCUAAGGGUAUGGGAUGUAAGAUCAAUCUCAAAACCUGUACACGAGACAUCAAUCUCCUUAGGUGGAGGAGUUUGGAGAAUUAAGUACCAUCCUUUUGUACCUGACCUAGUCUUGACAGCUUGUAUGCACAAUGGAUUUGCAGUUGUUAAAGUUAAAGGGAAUACAGCUGAAGUAAUUGAAACCUACAAUAAACAUGGUUCCCUGGCAUAUGGAGCUGAUUGGCAAAGAGGUUGUUUAGGGAGGAACGGUAGGGAUAAGAACAAUGUCAUUGCUACUUGCUCAUUUUAUGACCAGCUCCUUCGUGUGUGGAUGCCAGAAGGCGAUAUUGCUGAAUGACCCUGUGUUGUAGAUUAUGCUUUACAGGAAACAACAGAAAACACAGUCAAUUUCUUGAGGUGUUUGACCUGUGUCCACUGUAUUAUGGAAUUUCAAAUUGUAUUUCUGUGUUUGGUGACUAAUAUUUAUGGCUCUGUUUCCACAAUUUACAGCAAUGUAAAGCAGAGAGCUAUGCUAAAGUGGAUCAAUAGCUUCUCUGGCCUCUCCAUCACUCUGCUCGUGGAAUACCUAAUCCUCUUUAAAUUCUCAAAUCUAUCAGUUUCUUGUUAACCAGCAUUUCAUUAAAUGUUAUUAUUGCUCGUAGCAAAAAUUAAACGACAACACGAUUGUUGUGCUCAUAUGCAGUUCUUUAUUUUAAAAUUUUCUUAGGUGCCU